CAGGUGCUAGAGCCUGGGAUCCACUGGGAGGGUGACCUGGUGAGAGAUUUUACAGCUGUAGAAAAUGUCCUCUACCUUGAGAGAGGCGUGUGACACGGGAGUGAUCUGGCAGAGCGCUUCCCCGCGGGGUCACUGGGGGUCAGAGUGUGAGGAUUUCCACUUGGAAGGUUGUUUAAGGAGAAUGGACAGUUACACAUCCUGCUUGGGAGACAAUCACUGAACCAGCGGGGAACACAGUGCAUGAUGGGCUGCCCUACCCACUUUAUGGAAGAGGAAACCGAGGCUCAGAAAAUCAAGCUUGCAGACUUCCUCUGGAACUUCCUCUGGACAUCUGGAGGGACGUCUUGUCAGCAGAGCAGGCUGGACUGCUUCACAAAGAGGAUGCAGCCCUGCCUCCCAGCAGGAGUCAGUUCUGCUCUGAGACGUGAGGCUCACAAUCAAAUGAAGACUCCUACUGCUGCAUCUUGAAGAUAAUGAUGCUGUCACUCCGGGCCAGAACCACAGGAGUGGCAAUGAGUGAACAGCCAGCAGAGUGGAGCAGCCACACUGAUACAGGUGAGGCUGCAGCACUGCUGCAGCCAAGGGCUGGGCAAAACUGCCCUCCUGUGCCCCAGGAGCCAAGGCCUCUGAGAUUGGUGCUGGGACGUCACACAGUGCAGGCAAAUCACGUAGACCUCAGAGCAGGAUCCCUGGCCAUGAGAACUCAAAAGACAUAGUCUUUAAAAUGAAGACAGAAAACUGUAUUUAUUGCCACAAUAAAGCUGUGUAACAAACUACCC